CAGACAUGCGCAGUCUGUAGCUGCAUGCCAGUCGAGAGAGCACUAGCUUAGCAAGAUGGCUGAGGCAGAGGAAGAGGACUGCGAGAGACAGGAGUGAUGCACACAACAGCCAAUAAAAUGUUGUUCAGUAUCUGACUGCUUGUAUUGCCUCAUGACCAGGGGUGUAGUGGGCGUGGUACGCGGGGGUACGCUGUCCACCCACUUCUCCCGAGCACUGAGAGGGCAACAGAACUGAUAUAAUCGCCUGCCUGGUCAUCCUUACGCGGAUAAUUUCACCACAUACUGUAUUAUAUAUAUGAUUUGAAAUUCAUAAUCUUUGUGGCCUUCCUGUUUAGUGUUUUGUUGUACAUCCAAAAAUGUGAAAUGACAAUAAAUUUAAAGAAAUACUCAAGUCUUUAAGAAGGAGUGCAUGGUAGGGCUUAACCCAAUGGCCGCAUGUCAUGUAUUUUGUAUACGCAGGUGCCUCAAUCAUGCCAGACUAAAUGCUUGAUUUAUUCGAU